UUCAACCCAGCCUUUUCCAUCCUCUUCCCUCCAUCUCUCGCAUCUCUCAUCUCCAUCCCUCGCAUCUCUCAUCUCCAUCUCGCAUAUUCUCUGACCUCUUUUGUCUCCUCUUCUUCCACCUCUUCGAUCUCCACCACCACGCCGGCCGGCGUACGAGACACUACCCAAGAUCAACCCUUCCCAACAUCAAUUCAAAAUCCAGAAGGCGUAAGAUCCAUCUCUUCGAUCUCCACCACCACGCAUCUCUCAUAAAACUUCAAUCUUAAAAAUUAGAAGAGGAGAUGGGAACAACUCCAGCAGGCGUACGAGAGCAGAGAGGUGACUACGGAGGGCAGGCGGGAGGUAUAAUUCUAUAUCUAUUUUCAUGGAACCUAAGGAUGAAGAUGGAAAUAUUAUAAUUUUUCAAAAUUUGUUUUGUAAAUAUAUAUUUUGGGAGCAAAUCUCUCCUCCCCAAUCGAAGCCACCCAAAGAACGGCCACCGACUAAUUCAAGAACUAAGAUCACUUGGCUGAAUAAAAAGAUUAGUUUUUUUCUUUCAUCUUUUGUCUUAUAGAAGCUUUUAUCUUACGUGGAUAAUUAUAUAUAAAGAAUAUCUUCCUUAUUCAUGAAACUUUUUCUAAUAAAUUGUUUUACAUUUUUGUUAGGACCAAUUAGAACCAUUGAAUUUAUUUAAUGGCCAAGUAUCUUUGUAAUAUAUAAUAAAGAUCCAUAAUUGUCUAAUUAUUCCAAAAUCGGAUAAAGUUGGAUAAGUUAUAAAAUAGAUAUUUUUUUCAAAAGAGACCUCUUUAUUUUUCCAUAAGAAAAAAAGCUCGUCACUUAUAUUAAAAUAUUGUGAAUUAUUAUUUUUGGGUUUGAAAAUAGUGAAAAUUCAGAGUUAAUUUCAAAAAGGGUAAAAAAAGAAAAUGCAACACCGAUGCACACUCUCCUGCCUCCAACAUUUGCCUUCCUUAUAUUUAAUUUCUCCAUCCAAACAAUAUAAAUAUAUAAUUGUUAGAAGGUAUAAUCAAAUUAGUUUAUGUUCAUAAACUUAGGUUUUUGAAUUAGAGGAGAUUAGUUCAUAAAGAGACCUUGUGUAUAAUAAAUUCUUCCAUCUUUAUCUGUUAUUUAUUAUUUAUUUUUUUUGGUAAUGAACAAUAUAAUUAGUACUAUAUUGAUGGUUUUAAACCUUUACAUUGUAUGAGAUAUUAUUCAAUUGUGUUUUUUCUUCAACGAAAAGUUUUAUAUUUUGUUUGUUA